rnacentral:misc_RNA from 1 species
GAUGAAGAACGUAGCGAAAUGCGAUACGUAAUGUGAAUUGCAAAUUCAGUGAAUCAUCGAGUCUUUGAACGCACAUUGCGCCCCCUGGUAUUCCGGGGGGCAUGCCUGUCCGAGCGUCAUUGCUGCCCUCAAGCACGGCUUGUGUGUUGGGCCCCGUCCCCCGAUCCCGGGGGACGGGCCCGAAAGGCAGCGGCGGCACCGCGUCCGGUCCUCGAGCGUAUGGGGCUUUGUCACCCGCUCUGUAGGCCCGGCCGGCGCUUGCCGAUCAACCCAAAUUUUUAUCCAGGUUGACCUCGGAUCAGGUAGGGAUACCCGCUGAACUUAAGCAUAUCAAUAAGCGGAGGA